UCCCUCCCUGUAGAGGGCCCCUCCCAGGACCUGGGGCCCCAACCCCCAGCGGUAGUCCCCCCUUCUCCAGCCUAGAACCCCAAAAAGUCGAGCGCAGAUGGCAGUAGCUGGCGAGGUGGGGUGGUGGUGGUGGUGGUCCCUAAGAGGGGGCUGGGCAGAGUCGUAGGCCACCCGCUCCUCUGGCUGCUGUCAGAAGCCUUCUGCCCCUGUUCCGUGGCUUCCCAGGCAAGGGACGGGGGUUGAAAAUGUAGGGGAGGUUCGGAGCAAGGUGGGCAGUGGGUUUGGUGGGGGAAAGGAUGGCGAUGGAGGAGGCUCCGCAGGGAAAAGGCGAGGGUGGGGAUGGGCAGACAGGCGGAAGGGAGGGGGCAGGUUACUCACCAUGUGGGCUGGGGCUCAGGCUGCCUCCCAGGCACAGCAUCCAUGGCAGGAUACCUCCACUCCCACCUCGUCCCGACAAGCCAAAGCCCCCUCCCCUUCCGGAGAGACUGCUCCUACCCAGAGAGCGAAGGUGGGGGAGCCGCAAGAGAGAGUCCCCUCUCUCCCCAGCUGGAGGAGCAGGCAGUGGGGGUGAGGGGCGAGGUAGUGGGGAGGGAAUGAGAAUAGUGGAGGGGGAAAAAUCUGCCUUGGAUGGAGAUAGGGAAGAGGAGCUGGGAACUGGAUGGGGAGAGGGGGCUAUCAAAAGGGGGUGUUUUUUAUUAUUUUUUUCCUUCUUAUGGUUGGGAGAGAAAAAAAAAAAUCAAAAUUCCGAUUCCAUCCCAGCACAAAUCAAUGUUUGCUCCAUCCCAGCAUCACGGGGGAGGCUGGGCCAGGCAGAUUUAAAGGGGCAGGGAGAAGAGAGAAGAGGAGAGGGUGGGGAGAGGAGGAGAGGAAAAAGACACAGUGGCGAUGUUAGCAGUUGGGGGGGGGGUGCCCAGGCUGGAAAAGAUGGGUGCCCGCUAAACCUAAGGAGAGGGAGGAGGCAGGUAGAGAGGAGAAUGAGAGGCGCAGAGACCCCCAGGGUGGAAAGAAACUCUGGGAUGCCAGCAGGGAGUGGGGUGAGACCGAGGGUGGG
rnacentral:lncRNA from 1 species